rnacentral:rRNA from 1 species
UGGGGAAUAUUGGACAAUGGGGGCAACCCUGAUCCAGCCAUGCCGCGUGUGUGAAGAAGGCCUUUUGGUUGUAAAGCACUUUAAGCAGGGAGGAGAGGCUAAUGGUUAAUACCCAUUAGAUUAGACGUUACCUGCAGAAUAAGCACCGGCUAACUCUGUGCCAGCAGCCGCGGUAAUACAGAGGGUGCGAGCGUUAAUCGGAAUUACUGGGCGUAAAGCGAGUGUAGGUGGCUCAUUAAGUCACAUGUGAAAUCCCCGGGCUUAACCUGGGAACUGCAUGUGAUACUGGUGGUGCUAGAAUAUGUGAGAGGGAAGUAGAAUUCCCAGGUGUAGCGGUGAAAUGCGUAGAGAUCUGGAGGAAUACCGAUGGCGAAGGCAGCUUCCCGGGCAUAAUAUUGACACUGAGAUUCGAAAAGCGUGGGGUAGCAAACAGGAUUAGAUACCCUGGUAGUCCACGCCGUAAACGAUGUCUACUAGCCGUUGGGGUCCUUGAGACUUUAGUGGCGCAGUU